GUCCACGCCCUAAACGAUGUACACUAGUUGUUGUGAGACUUGAUCUUGCAGUAAUGCAGUUAACACAUUAAGUGUACCGCCUGGGGAGUACGGUCGCAAGAUUAAAACUCAAAGGAAUAGACGGGGACCCCGCACAAGCGGUGGAGCAUGUGGUUUAAUUCGACGAUACACGAAGAACCUUACCUGGACUUGACAUAGUAAGAACUUUCUAGAGAUAGAUUGGUGUCUGCUUGCAGAAACUUAUAUACAGGUGCUGCACGGCUGUCGU
rnacentral:rRNA from 1 species